rnacentral:rRNA from 1 species
UUGAUACUGUAGAGCUAGGAUUAGGUUGCUGUGGGCGGAAUGUGUGGUGUAGCGGUGAGAUGCUUAGAGAUCACACAGAAUAUCGAUUGCGAAGGCAGCUCACAAAGCCUAAAUUGACGCUGAGGCACGAAAGUGUGGGGAUCGAACAGGAUUAGAUACCCUGGUAGUCCACACUGUAAACGAUGAUAACUCGCUGUCGGCGAUAUACAGUCGGUGGCCAAGCGAAAGCGAUAAGUUAUCCACCUGGGGAGUACGACCGCAAGGUUGAAACUCAAAGGAAUUGACGGGGGCCCGCACAAGCGGAGGAACAUGUGGUUUAAUUCGAUGAUACGCGAGGAACCUUACCCGGGCUCGAACGGUGCAUGAAUGUCAGAGAGAUUUGACAGUCCUUCGGGACAUGUAUCGAGGUGCUGCAUGGUUGUCGUCAGCUCGUGCCGUGAGGUGUCGGCUUAAGUGCCAUAACGAGCGCAAC